rnacentral:rRNA from 1 species
UUUUAUGGAGAGUUUGAUCCUGGCUCAGGAUGAACGCUGGCGGCGUGCCUAAUACAUGCAAGUCGAGCGAACGGACGAGAAGCUUGCUUCUCUGAUGUUAGCGGCGGACGGGUGAGUAACACGUGGAUAACCUACCUAUAAGACUGGGAUAACUUCGGGAAACCGGAGCUAAUACCGGAUAAUAUUUUGAACCGCAUGGUUCAAAAGUGAAAGACGGUCUUGCUGUCACUUAUAGAUGGAUCCGCGCUGCAUUAGCUAGUUGGUAAGGUAACGGCUUACCAAGGCAACGAUGCAUAGCCGACCUGAGAGGGUGAUCGGCCACACUGGAACUGAGACACGGUCCAGACUCCUACGGGAGGCAGCAGUAGGGAAUCUUCCGCAAUGGGCGAAAGCCUGACGGAGCAACGC